GAUCUAAAAAGAAAAAAUAUGAAGUUUCAGCCAUAAUUUUAAAAACAAAAACAAAAACACACAAUCAACAAUAUUUUAAGAAAAGAAGACCACCAGAGAGGCAUUAGAACUAAAGCUUUAACAACUGUGACUUUCGCAAUGUAGGCCAAGAGGCACCAAUAACAGAAACAGAUGCAGUACCCAUUAUCGAACUCAGGACCUUGCAUCACCAGGCAGGCGUGGUGCCACUGAGCUACAUCCCUGGCCCUGUAAUUCAUUUAGUUUUCUGCUCCUGUUCCCAACUGUGUUGACAAGGACAAAAUACAAUAGUGCUGAGAUCACAGGUGCACAUAACCACGCCUGGCUUACAACUACACUGAGGAUGUCAUUAAGCAAAUCUGAACUGGCUAUACUGUACUGGCAGUCAAGAUAAACCAAAUGUGGGUUUCUCUUUGUCAACAUAGGCUGAUAAGACUACAUUACCCGCAAGCAACGGGCCUAUGAAGAUAACUUUUUGGAUGAAAAAGAACAAAUCAAUUCUACAACCAGAGCCCCACUGCAAGUUGGCAAUUAAAAUUGGCAAAAAAUCCAUGGCAGAAAUGCCAUCCAGGAAAGGAGUACCUAGCGUUUUCCUCCUCUUUUGGGGAGACGGGUGUAUAAUAAACUAAAGAUACACGAGAUAAAAGCAAUCGUAUUUCUAAAUAAGCGAAUUUUCAAAAAACGUGCAUCCUAAAUGGUAACCAACCAGGAACACCGUCUCAAAUCGCUCGUGUAAAAGGUAGGCACAGGAAUGAAAUUUCUCUAAGCAAGUUAGAGCCCCAGCCAACGCCAUUGUACAAAUGAUUUCAUUCUUCAGUACUGAAAAUGUAGGUAAGUGUUUACAUUUUCCAAAACUGUCUUAAAGCAACCACACCCGCAUCAUCCCAACGCACACAACCCGGGGCUUUUAUUUUGAUGAGUUUAUGAGAGCAGAGUCCGCGGCCAGCGCAGCGGUAGAGAAGCCGCGAAGGCGCCGGGCAUCACGCGCCGCGCGCGGCUCGAGUGACAGCGGCCAGGCAGCGCAGCGACGCCGGCACCCUCGGCGGGGAGGGCAGGCGCCGGCUCCGGCACCCACCGUCAGCUUCGCCAAUGCCUCUCCACGCGGCCUUUCAGACCCUCCCGCGGAAAAACGAGCCACUUCCUUCCCUGGCGCCCAGAGCCUCAGAAAGCUCUAAACGAGACUACCGGGUUUUGUCCCCUCCCGCAUUUCCCCGCAAAUCCCAGGAUGGGGACCGAUCGCCGCGCGCCAUCGCGGUGAUCAAGGCACGAUCCGUCAAAUAAAGCGGGACUCGGUGCGUCCGCGAUCGCCAGGCCCCACGAGAGGCGGUGG